rnacentral:rRNA from 1 species
GAUGAACGCUGGCGGCGUGCCUAAUACAUGCAAGUAGAACGCUGAAGGAAGGAGCUUGCUCUUUCCGGAUGAGUUGCGAACGGGUGAGUAACGCGUAGGUAACCUGCCUGGUAGCGGGGGAUAACUAUUGGAAACGAUAGCUAAUACCGCAUAACAGUAGAUGUUGCAUGAUAUCUACUUAAAAGGUGCAAUUGCACCACUACCAGAUGGACCUGCGUUGUAUUAGCUAGUUGGUGAGGUAACGGCUCACCAAGGCGACGAUACAUAGCCGACCUGAGAGGGUGAUCGGCCACACUGGGACUGAGACACGGCCCAGACUCCUACGGGAGGCAGCAGUAGGGAAUCUUCGGCAAUGGACGGAAGUCUGACCGAGCAACGCCGCGUGAGUGAAGAAGGUUUUCGGAUCGUAAAGCUCUGUUGUAAGAGAAGAACGAGUGUGAGAGUGGAAAGUUCACACUGUGACGGUAUCUUACCAGAAAGGGACGGCGAACUACGU